AGUGAACGCUGGCGGUAGGCCUAACACAUGCAAGUCGAACGGCAGCACAGUAAGAGCUUGCUCUUACGGGUGGCGAGUGGCGGACGGGUGAGGAAUACAUCGGAAUCUACUUUUUCGUGGGGGAUAACGUAGGGAAACUUACGCUAAUACCGCAUACGACCUACGGGUGAAAGCAGGGGAUCUUCGGACCUUGCGCGAUUGAAUGAGCCGAUGUCGGAUUAGCUAGUUGGCGGGGUAAAGGCCCACCAAGGCGACGAUCCGUAGCUGGUCUGAGAGGAUGAUCAGAGAAACUGGAAGUGAGACAGGGGCAAGACGCCUACGGGAGGCAGCAGUGGGGAAUAUUGGACAAUGGGCGCAAGUCUGAUCCAGCCAUACCGCGUGGGUGAAGAAGGCCUUCGGGUUGUAAAGCCCUGUUGUUGGGAAAGAAAAGCAGAAGGUUAAUACCCCGCUGUUCUGAAGGUACCCAAAGAAUAAGCACCGGCUAACUUCGUG
rnacentral:rRNA from 1 species